UUCUUGUGACCAUCGAAGCCGAGCUGCAGGCCCUUGGGGAGGGACUGUGUGGGAACUGCUCCAGGUGACUCAUCUGCCCUCCUCCAGCUCCUGGGUGCUGCUCCUCCUCUGUGGGGUGGGAGCCACUGCUGCUCCCCGUGGGUGGCCGCAUCUGCUCCCUCCGCCAAGGCCUCUCCUGGAAGCCCCUGGCGACUGUGCACAGGGCCCAGACUACAACCCCGAGGUCUGCAGCACAGGGUGCUCAAGGUUCCCAGGGGCUGCCUUACCGCAGGCACAGGCUACAGCAGAGCCUCAGAGGUAGCAAGACACUGGUGUGGAUCUUAGGACAGAGUACUGGCUGAGUUCUGAUUUCCAGUCCCAAGAGGCUGUUCCGGCCCGCCGGGGCUUCAGGUUUUGGCCCAUCUGGAGCUGGCUCAUGGGCACUCCGUCUUGGCCUCCAGACCCCGCUCCCUGUGCCCUAGUGACUCAGAGAGCCCAGGGAUUAAGUCCAGCCGCCGAGCAAACAGAUCCGUGCCUGCCGAUCUGAGCUGCUCUUCAAUAACAGGGAGUGGCCCUCAUUUGCAUUGACUGCUGAGAACUUCCUGAAGACAGGUCCCCAAGCCCCUGGGGGCCAGCACCUGCAGGCCAGGCCGGAGUGGAGGCGGAGGGACGAGGCCCUUUGCAGAGGACAGCUGGGUCACAGAGCUGGAGAGAGGGUCCUUGGAUUGUGUCAGGCGCAGAUGCGGAUCUGGUGGCCUCUGGGCAUCCAUAGGGAAGGCUGCAACUUCCACGGAGCUGAUGCGCGCCUCACAGAGCCCAGAAUGUGGCUGCAGUUCCCUCGGACCAACCUCUGCUGCUGACACCAGCGUCAUGAGGGCUGAUCUGGAGACACCCUCAGCAUCAUCCCUGGGACAGAGGACCAUCAGGAGCCUGACAAUCAGCUUCACACACAUCUAAUCGCCCCUGGGGGACCCAAGAGUGAGCCCACGUCCAGCUGAAUGAGGAAACAAGCAAGCUGAGCCACAUCAGAGUGCCAGAGGUCUGGCCUCGGGGCACUGCACAUCUGUCCACACACAGCUGGCACGGCCAGGCGAGAACACACUGGUCACCCUCUGUUCCAGGCCUGGGAUGCACCCCCACUGGCCUCUUCCUGUGGGGGCUUGGACAGCUCCCCACCCCUGACAGGGACCCAAUUGGAAACAGCGCUGGUGUCUCUCACCCGGCGAUUCCAGGUACUCGCUUUCUGCAGGCAGGGCUUCUCUCCGGCCCCCAGGUGCAGGUCUCGUGCUCAAGGUGCAGUGUCACGAGGUGGGGUGCGUGCUCUGUCCUUGAAUCCUGACCCUACUCACCUCAGGCCAGGUGUGACCCUCUCACCCAUGGUGCCCAGCUGUGGGCAGGUGAAAGGCUGCACUUGGGCGAGGCCAGCCUGCCCAGGGAAAGCAGGGUGGGAUUCCCAGGACGCAGUGCUGGUUUCUGACCUCCUUAUGGACAAGCAUCCCCGGUGAGCUGUGUCCUCACUUAUGCUAUAGGCUGAAUUGUGUCCCUAGCACAUUAACCCCCAGGACUUCAGACUGGCUGUAUAUUGGGGCCAGGGCCUCAGAACAGUGAUUAGGGUUAAAUGAGAUCAUUGGGCUGGGCCUUAAUCUACUCUGACUGGUGUCCUUAUGAGAAGAGGAGAUUAGGACACAGAGGGAGGCCUGCAUGGGGACAGAGGUGAACACAGUGUCCACAAGCCCAGGGGAGAAUUCAGGAGGAGCCGGCCCUGCUGACGCCUGCCUCGGUGCAUGCAGCCUCCAGCUCUUGAAGACACAAAGUGUCCUCUGCCUGUGGCAUUCUGUGAUGUGGCCUGAGACACCCAGCAAGGAAUCCCUGAGAUCACAGCUACCCAUUUUUCCAAAGAAAUUUUCUCUCCAGAUCUCAGGCAAUGGUCUCUAUAGAAACCUCAGUGAAGAAACUGCAUCCAGACCCAUCCCGCCUGGCUGAGUUAAGAGGCGGGGGCACUCAUCCUGCUUCAGUUGGACAGGUCCAGCCCAGGAUUCGGGAAGAGCAACUGCUCCCUACAGGGCCAGUCCUCAGGUACCUGCUGAAGCUCCCUGUGUGGGGUGACAGUCCAGACAGUGGGACAACCAGGCCUGUCCUGCAAGAGCCCUGCGGGAGACCAUGGGGUGGGUCAUUGCUUCUUCCAGGCCUUGGCUCUUUAGCAGGCAGGAGCUGCCCUCCCAUCCCAUAGUGGCCUGGGUGAUAUUUCCUGAAGACUCAAGAGUGGCUGGGAGUGGGAUUGCAGCUGCCAGGACCAUGACAGACUGCUUGCCUCCGUGUACCUCCUGGGGCUGGGCCUCGGGGCUGGCUUCCAAUGAGCCUGUGGAUCUGGUGGCCAGGCUAGCAGGAAAGGGGGUCUUCCUAUCCCAGGCCGCUGCCUGCCAGGUGUCCAUGGUGACAGGAAGCUGCAGUGGCAGUGGCAUUGGCUGCAGUGGGUCUUGUAGGUAAGCAGGGGGUGUGGGCUGCAGCCCUCCUCUGAGGGGAACUGGAGGCAGGGUAGGCCACCCCCUUUCUCUGCAGGGCCUCAUGGACACCCUAAAUUCUUGCAACUUCCUCCCACCAGGGCAUCCCACACGAGAAGAAUUCUGUCCCUCGGUGACUUCAUCCUCUGCCUUAGGGGAUAGUUGGGUGUGAUUGGUCCAAGGCUUCCCGGAGGCUGGCCAAGAAGGUGCCAAGCAAAGAAUCCUUUCUUUGGGCCUGGAAUAGAGGCCAGAACAUCCUGGCAAGCCUUCUGCCAGGACCGAGUCAGCUUCUGCUUUGAAUCCGGGGUGGCCCUUCCCCUCCCUGUCCUGGGCUGGAUUGGGCAAGGAGAUAAGCUAUGCUGGCAGCCAGCCUGGCAAAGCUCUGUCACUGUUGUGCAAACAUGAACCUCCUUACGCACUGUCUGCCAACCUCGUGUUAUCUAAUUCACAAACAGAGCUUACCCACCCUCAUCCCCAGAUCAGCCACAACAAAGUGUCCCCAGGGAAGCCACCUGCCAAGGGGAGCACAGCCAGCAUGGAUGUCAGCUGGAACAGAAACCCCAGUGAGCUGGCCUGGGGCCUGCCAACUCCCCGAAAUACCCACACAUUGAGCAGCAUGACACGCCCAGGAGGAGGCAGGGUGGGAUGCAGGGCGGGGACACUGGCCGUGUGUCUGGGAUCUGACAGGGGUCUCUAUAGAAGAGAUAGAAGACACUGACAGAUCCCUGCCAGUCUCCUGCCCCUGGUGGUCGGCAUCUCCGGCUGAGGACACCGAGUGGUUUGUGUGCUCCUGUACCUGUGGCCAGCGAGUGCCGAGCCAGGUCAUAGAGAGGGAUGCCUGGAUUGGAAGCUGCCAGAGUUGCUGGAGCCUCUGUCUGCUCAGACCCCUGUGGGGAUGAGGGGACAGCAUGGGAAGGCAGCCCUGGCUCUUCAUGGUGGGCUGUGGGGACUGCCUGUCUCCCCUCUGUAGCUCCUGACAGAUCUCUUGCUGUGUGACAGUCACCUGCUGUGUUAACACAGUUUGCCCAGUCUCGUCCUACCUCUGCUCCUGCAUUGGGAACUGUUAUCACAGAGGGUGCACCCAUCCACAGUCAGCAGCAGUGCAGGAGAAGGUAGGAUUUGAACCUGGACCUCGGCCUGCAGGUCCGAUGCCUCAAAGCUCCUGCUCCCCUAAUGGAGCCUCUAGCGCCAGCUGCAAACACUGCAGAACUGCCUGACUUUGCAUCCCGUGCACCUCUGUGAGUCAAGGCUCGAGAUCUGAGCCUUCAUUCAUGCAUUUGUUCAUUUCUUCAUCCAACACAGAAGUGCCAUGUGCAUCGGCACCAAGGGCACAGAGGGGAUGAAAAUGAACCAGUGCAGACAGCUGUCCAAGCUCAAGCUGGCAUGGUCCAGAAAGGCGUGUGUAUGUGUGUGUGUGUGUGUGUGUGUGUGUGUGCGCGCGCGCACCUACAGUAGCCGCGGGGAUGAGAUGGGCGAGGGCUGGGGCUACGGCAGCCUGAUGAGGAGCCCCUGAGAUCUUGGGGACAGACUCCACAGGGAACCCUUGGAAGUUGAAAGCCAAGCACUGCAAUUCCCAUGGGAAGGAGAAGGUGCAAGUGCAGGGAAGGACUCAGCGCAUUUUCUGGAGGUUGGCAGGAGAAUUUCAGAUUUGUUGAUUUUGCGUGACUCCUGCCCCUCCACACAGACCACCAUGCUGAUCUUCAAACCUUGGCCUUGGCCAGAGAAUAUAUAGACUUGGAGACGUGUGAACCAAAGACAGUGCUGCCUGUGCGGCCUUCGGGCUCCGAAGCGCAUUACUAUGGUGCUUUUGCUUAGGGGUUGGGCUGUCGGAAAAGACAACUUCUGUAUACCAAGAAGACUAAAGCAAAGCUAGUGGUUGAGUGUGGUGGCACAUGCGUGUGGUCCCGGCUAUCUGGGGGGCUGAGGGCAGGAGGAUCACUUGAGCCCCUGAAUCUGAGUCCACCCUAAGCAAAUGUAGCACUCAAAAAAAAAAAAAAAAAAAAGACAAAAACAGCAAUCAAAAGGCCAGCACAUUCUUCAUUCUAGCUAACGGAAGUUUCUUUUCAAAUUAGUCCUAGGUAUUUUUUACGAAAUGUGUAGAAUUCAUAUCCAUUAGAUCCCCAAAUUCUAAAACUUCUUGUGUAUUAAUAUCGGGUAGAGUGAAGCACUUUUAUGCUUAUUUGGAGAUUUGAUAGACUUUGCAGAAGAAAACGGAUUUCAUUUGAGUGUGAAAACUGUGACAGUUGUGGAAAUGUGUGCCUUUAAGGCUGCUGAAGGCGAACUUGCAUGUUACCAAGAAAAUUAGUGUUUGCACCGAGCGCAGUGUGUUUGACAGAAAAUUCAGGUGAGUGGUUUCACCACACCAAGCAAGAACAACAGAAACAAGAGUUUCCAAGCAGGGUGUCUGUCUGCAUCGGUGUCCUGUCCAGUGACGCCAGCAAAGUACUCACUGACUGGAAAGUAAUUAUAUGCAGGUAGGAUGAGAAGAUAUUCGUGCAAGAAGCUUGAGCACAAGAGUUGCUGUUUGAGCCAAGUGUGUGUUCUGAGCGUGGGUGGACGGGACUCUCAGAAGAGCAUAGCAUCCUGGAGGGAAAAGCUGGAAGCCUAACAGGACUCAGGUCGGCACUUCUCAGCUCACAGAAGAAUUUGAAAAGAGCAGCAGAAGGGGGUGAUUUACCAGGAAAAGGCAGCUUCACAGUGGCGUGAGGCUUCCAUGAGUGCUCUGCAGGGUGAAAGUCGGCUGGCUGGCUCUUAACAGUUUCAUCCAUUGAAUUUUCUUUCUAGCUUUCUAAAGUUUUUUUUUUUUCCUUUUUUUUAGUGCAGCCUGUUCCACAAGCCGUGCAUUAGUUAUGUGUGUGUGUCUGUAUGUGUGUGCCACGUAUUUCAUCUUUGCCUCAUUCCCAGCCUAGGAGGCAGACUUUGUCAAGACUUUUGGAGAGAGCUGGUUUGAUUUAUGCAGGGUUUGCAAACGUGGCUCCUUGAAUGUGCAUCAUGGCAAUGGUGAUUUAAGGACCGGAUGCAUGGAAAAAUCUUGAAACUGGUUCAGUAAAUGAAGAGAUGUCUUUUAGGGUAGCUCAGGCUGGCCUCAAACUUGCAGUGAUCCUCCCGCUUCAGCCUCCCAGGUGCUGGGAUUAUUGGUGUGUACCACUAGGGAUGUCUUUGAUUACACAACAGGGGACAUGCUGGGCCACAGUGAUGUUUAUAUGUUCCACUUUAGAACUCUUUCUUCAUUGAUAUGGUUCAUUUGCUCAUGUCACUAGAAUGCCUGAGGGUAUGUGCUUGCAAAAAAUAGGUGGCUUUUAUUAGGUAAAGUGACCCAUGAGGUGUCAUAUGAAGUUUUUAUGUUCCUCAAACAAAUUUCCUUCUAAUAUAUAUAUAUAAUACAUAUGUCUAAGUAAUUUUUUAUA